UACGAGGGGGGCAAAUGUUGUUCGGAAUUACUGGGCGUAAAGCGCACGUAGGCGGAUUUGUAAGUCAGGGGUGAAAUCCCGGGGCUCAACCUCGGAACUGCCUUUGAUACUGCAAAUCUCGAGUCCGGAAGAGGUGAGUGGAAUUCCUAGUGUAGAGGUGAAAUUCGUAGAUAUUAGGAAGAAACACCAGUGGCGAAGGCGGGCUAC
rnacentral:rRNA from 1 species